GAUAUAACUGCUGUUAGUUCAAGUGAGAGAGAUGGGGUAGUACAGGAAAUAUGGACUGAUUCAGUGAAGUGAAGGGAAAGUGGUUUUGGUAGUAUAGGUAGUGUGAGCUUGCUGUUGGGUGGAAAAUGUGAAGGCUGUUGGGUUAAUUGGAGGGGACGGCGGCGUGAUUUUUUGUGAGCGGCUGCGGGAUAAAAACUGAAGUCGACGACUUAGUCGAGUGUGGGCUAAUCGAGCAGAGAAAUAGUGAAACAGACAGAGGGCUGUAGUUUCACGUGUAUGGGAGCUGAGGAGGAUGGCCGCUAACCGCGUGUGGUACAGGUCGUGGAGUCCGACUAUAGCAAAGAGGAGCGGGUUGUGCGUGUAGAGUCGGAAAGCUACGACAGUCUGGUACAGAGGCUGGAGCGAUCGAGCGAAAGGUUCGAACAUAUGUGAGGCUUAGAGGUGUGAAGGCUGGGAUCUGGGUCGGUACAGCAAGAGGGAGGUCAGCUGGAUCUGGGUGCUCGGGGUUUUGCCGGUGUUGGCGAGUAGAGGCGCCGGCUACUGGGUGAGGUGGAAGUCGGAUAGGGGAGAUCGGACAUGAAAGGGGCUGGAGGCUGCUCGACAUGUGGAAGAAUGGGAUUGUGGAGUUCGUCGUGAGGUAGAGGAUACGGGAGUGGGAGGUUCGGGUUAUUUGCAGCUGUGAGAAUCGAAGGUUGGGUGGUAUGUCCGGUUGGAGAUUCUCAUGUGUCGAAGAAGAGCCGAAGGCUCAGAUCCCUUAGAUAGACUUGUAGUCAAGAAGCUGCUUCAGAAUUUCUACAGUUACUUUUGGGCUCAGGCUACUACAAGAAGAGAAUCCGAGCUUCAGCCAGUUUACUGCUUCAAGAGACCUCAGUUUUGAUUUCGAGAGGAACUGGAUACUUGUUCACGAGCCACCUCAGGAGACUUUUGUUUCAGGUCCUAGAAGUGCAGGGUACCUGGUCUUUGGAAGGAGCAGAAUAAAGUUGACGGCUUCCUCUACAGGCGUAGUUUAGGAGACAUAUCGUAGUCCUCUGUGAAGGACAUUGUACUUUUCUUUUUCUUUCAGCUG